rnacentral:lncRNA from 1 species
CAUGGUCAAAGUUAAGCGUGGGAAAAUAUCCCACAUUCUCUCCACAUACAUGUUGGAACACAAGCAUUUCGAAAGACUAUUUCAUGCACCAGGAGCGUUCUUUCUCCGUAUUUGUAGGAGGUUGUAUGUUUCCAUUUGACGCCCUCUGGCUAACCAUCUCCGCUUCUGUAGCAGGAAGGUGUACAGGAGACCAUACAACAUAACCCACUGACGCGUGCAAAAG